rnacentral:rRNA from 1 species
UACGGAGGAGGCAAGCGUUAUCCGGAAUUAUUGGGCGUAAAGCGUCCGCAGGUGGCACUUCAAGUCUGUCGUCAAAGACUGGGGCUUAACCCCGGAAAGGCGGUGGAAACUGAAGCGCUAGAGUGCGGUAGGGGUAGAGGGAAUUCCCGGUGUAGCGGUGAAAUGCGUAGAUAUCUGGAGGAACACCGGUGGCGAAGGCGGCAUCCUGGACCGGCAUUGACGCUGAGGAGCGAAAGCCAGGGGAGCAAACGGG